CCUACGGGAGGCAGCAGUGGGGAAUAUUGCACAAUGGGCGAAAGCCUGAUGCAGCAACGCCGCGUGAGCGAUGAAGGCCUUUGGGUCGUAAAGCUCUGUUGUUAGGGAAGAACAAGUGCCAGAGUAACUGCUGGCACCUUGACGGUACCUAACCAGAAAGCCACGGCUAACUACGUGCCAGCAGCCGCGGUAAUACGUAGGUGGCAAGCGUUGUCCGGAAUUAUUGGGCGUAAAGCGCGCGCAGGUGGUUCCUUAAGUCUGAUGUGAAAGCCCACGGCUCAACCGUGGAGGGUCAUUGGAAACUGGGGGACUUGAGUGCAGAAGAGGAAAGUGGAAUUCCAAGUGUAGCGGUGAAAUGCGUAGAGAUUUGGAGGAACACCAGUGGCGAAGGCGACUUUCUGGUCUGUAACUGACACUGAGGCGCGAAAGCGUGGGGAGCGAACAGGAUUAGAUACCCUGGUAGUCCACGCCGUAAACGAUGAGUGCUAAGUGUUAGAGGGUUUCCGCCCUUUAGUGCUGCAGCUAACGCAUUAAGCACUCCGCCUGGGGAGUACGGCCGCAAGGCUGAAACUCAAAGGAAUUGACGG
rnacentral:rRNA from 1 species